rnacentral:rRNA from 1 species
AUGGUCAUAAUUGAUGAUAUUUGGCAUGGUGGAGAAUGGGAAACAAUCAGAAGAUCUCUUCCACUGAAUACUCUGGGCAGCAGAAUUGUCACAACAACUCGUAUUAAUGCUAUAGCUGAGAAGUGGCGUGAUGAUUUUGAUGCCUUGAUCUAUAAAAUGGACACUGAAUGGGAUUAUGUUCGUGAAAUAUGGGCCUACAUAAUUGGUGAGGAAGAUGUUGCCGCUGGGAUGGUAGCAAAGUUUGACAUGGUUGCCGCAGAUUUUGAUUGUGACCAUCCUGUUGUGCACAUGUGCGGUGGUAUGCCAUUAGCACUAGUCUGUAUGUUUUCAGCGUUGGCAAAGGAGCAAGAACAACAAGGGCUGCAUGUAAAGAAGGCAAGUGAUGUACAAGAUAGGAUUUGGGAAAAAGUAAAGCGAAAUGGAAUCCAGAAUACUCCAGGUUUUGAACCAUUGGUCGAGAGUUUGCAGCUGGGCUACAUCCAUCUUCCUCAUCAUAUGCUGAAGACUUGCCUUUUGUACUGCUGUAUAUACCCUGAGGGUCGGGAGAUUAAAAGGGGUCAUUUGAUGAGGAGAUGGACCGCAGAAAGAUUUGUCUGUAAAGAGGAGAUAGCAAAAGGUUAUUUUGAAGAGCUUGUUAACAGGGGAUUGAUUCCGUUUGUAAAGAAAAGAUACAGUCAGAACUAUGGCAAAUACAGAGUGCACCCCGUGAUGCGAAAUUUCCUUAGAUGCAAACUCCGAGAAGACAAUUUCAUUACAUGCAGUUCUGAUAUUCCAGCGUCAUAUGCCUGCCGAAUCCGUUUGCUCUGUAUCGAUGAGGAUCCGAUGUCAGACUCAGACUCUGUAACGGAUGAUGGUCCCAUGUCAGAAAUUGAUUGGUCCCAUAUUCGGUCCCUUGUUGUGUUUGGAAGUGCCAGGAGAGCCCGCUUGGGACAGUUGAAAUGUCUGCGUGUGUUAGAUCUUCAGUUCAAUGAGGGUCUUGAGAAUGACGAUCUGAAGGAUAUGUGUGGCCUAUUCCGUGUGAGGCACCUGUUUGGCCUUCGUGGGAGGUUUAUAAGUGAGAUCCCACCAGAAAUACGGGGGCUGCAGCAUCUGGAGACUUUGGAAGUGAGGGGAACACGGAUCACAGGCCUACCCGUUGAGAUUGGAAAGCUGCAGCAUUUGAAGAACCUGGACUUGAAGCAGAACGAGUAUCUCAAGGAGGUGCCUAGGGUGAUCCGAGACCUGCAGCAUUUGGAGAAUCUUUCCUUGAAUACAACAGGCAUCACAGAGCUACCCAGGGAGAUCAUCACGAGACUACCACAAUUGAGGAGCCUUGACGUGAGUAGAAACCCAAAAAUCACCGAGUUACCCAGUGAGAUUUGGAACCUCCAGCAUUUGAGGACACUGAAUUUGGGUAACACACAGAUCACACAACUGCCUCGGGAGGUUGCGAACCUCCAGAAUUUGGAGACUCUGAACUUGAACCGCACACGUAUCAGAAAGCUGCCUCGGGAGAUCGGCAAACUGCAGCAUCUGGAAUCACUGAACUUGUACCUUUCAUUGGUGAGGAAGAUACCGAUGGAAAUGGAAGGACUUAAUAAACUGAAGAGUUUGGUAACAGAUGGGUUCAACGCAUUGCCCUGGGAAGCUGCUAAGCUUUCACGAUUGUUGGGAUUGCCCGAGGGUCUCUGCCAAAUUUGGAAGAACAGUGAUGUGGUGUCUUCGCUAGCCGGGGAGAUCCUGCAUUUGAAGUUCACUCAGCUAUUGGGCCUAACCAUCGGCACGAAACAGAUGCGCAUCCCGCGGUGGAUCAAGGAUCACUUCAGUGACCUGGGCACCUUGGACAUCAGGGUCUGUAAGCUAGAGGAGGAUGGUCUCAAGAUUCUGCGGGAGAUGCCCAACCUUCAGAUUCUCGACCUGUACUUCGAAGUCGUUCCGAGAGAGCCGGUAGCCAUCAGAGGUGGAGGGUUUCCCAGGCUUAUGAGACUCACUAUUGACAGCCGAGUGCCACGGGUGUUCUUCCAGGAAGGAGCUAUGCCCAUGCUCGAAUGGCUUGUUAUCGUGUUCCAGUUCUAUGCUGGCCCACCAAAUAGAGAUCCUGUCGGUAUCAAUCAUCUCACGGAACUCAGCAUAGUCCAGAUUCGUUGUGAAAAGGAAUGCUACAGCGCAGACGCCCCAUGCAUCAGCGCCACAAUUGACGUCCUUCGAGAAGAAGCCUGGGAGCAUCGCAACGAUGUGUUAUUUUCUGUCACUGGUUACCGUUCAGGGACUUACGCAGCGAACAAAAAUAGUGCAGAUAUUUUGGAAGAGGUCAAUGACGCUUGCAGCAGUGAGACGGGCGAGUUCGAACGAGGAGGAGAGCAGCAGCAGGGUGAGAUGGAGGAAGAGCGGAGCCAGGCAUAA